rnacentral:rRNA from 1 species
GAUGAACGCUGGCGGCGUGCUUAACACAUGCAAGUCGAACGAGAAGUGAAGACGGAAACCUUCGGGCGGAAGGCUUUAUUUCGAGUGGCGGACGGGUGAGUAACGCGUGGGUAACCUGCCUCCUACAGGGGGAUAACAGUUGGAAACGACUGUUAAUACCGCAUAAGACCACAGCACCGCAUGGUGCGGGGGUAAAAACUCCGGUGGUAUGAGAUGGACCCGCGUUCGAUUAGCCAGUUGUCGGGGUAACGGCCCACCAAAGCGACGAUCGAUAGCCGAUCUGAGAGGAAGACCGGCGACAUUGGGACUGAGACACGGCCCAAACUCCUACGGGAGGCAGCAGUGGGGAAUAUUGCACAAUGGGGGAAACCCUGAUGAAGCGACGCCGCGUGAGUGAAGAAGUAUUUCGGUAUGUAAAGCUCUAUCAGCAGGGAAGAAAAUGACGGUACCUGAGUAAGAAGCCCCGGCUAACUACGUG